rnacentral:rRNA from 60 species
GGGUUGUGAGGUUAAGCGACUAAGCGUACACGGUGGAUGCCCUGGCAGUCAGAGGCGAUGAAGGGCGUGCUAAUCUGCGAUAAGCGCCGGUAAGGUGAUAUGAACCGUUAUAACCGGCGAUACCCGAAUGGGGAAACCCAGUGUGAUUCGUCACACUAUCAUUAACUGAAUCCAUAGGUUAAUGAGGCGAACCGGGGGAACUGAAACAUCUAAGUACCCCGAGGAAAAGAAAUCAACCGAGAUUCCCCCAGUAGCGGCGAGCGAACGGGGAGGAGCCCAGAGCCUGAAUCAGCAUGUGUGUUAGUGGAAGCGUCUGGAAAGGCGCGCGAUACAGGGUGACAGCCCCGUACACAAAAGCGCAUGUGCUGUGAGCUCGAUGAGUAGGGCGGGACACGUGGUAUCCUGUCUGAAUAUGGGGGGACCAUCCUCCAAGGCUAAAUACUCCUGACUGACCGAUAGUGAACCAGUACCGUGAGGGAAAGGCGAAAAGAACCCCGGCGAGGGGAGUGAAAAAGAACCUGAAACCGUGUACGUACAAGCAGUGGGAGC